GAGUUUUGAUCAUGGCUCAGGAUGAACGCUAGCUACAGGCUUAACACAUGCAAGUCGGAGGGGAAACGACAUCGAAAGCUUGUCUUUUGAUGGGCGUCGACCGGCGCACGGGUGAGUAACGCGUAUCCAACCUGCCCACCACUUGGGGAUAACCUUGCGAAAGUAAGACUAAUACCCAAUGACGUCUCUAGAAGACAUCUGAAGGAGAUUAAAGAUUUAUCGGUGAUGGAUGGGGAUGCGUCUGAUUAGCUUGUUGGCGGGGUAACGGCCACCAAGGCGACGAUCAGUAGGGGUUCUGAGAGGAACGGUCCCCACAUUGGAACUGAGACACGGUACCAAACUCCGUACGGGAGGCA
rnacentral:rRNA from 1 species